AUUGAACGCUGGCGGUAGGCCUAACACAUGCAAGUCGAGCGGCAGCAGAGAGCUUGCUCCUGGCUUCAUCGGAGGUCGGGUGCGGAAUGCCUAGGCAUCUGCCUGGUCGUGGGGGAUAAGGUCCGCGAAAGGGAGCUUAUACUGCUUCCGUAUUCUGGCUGCAAGUGGGGGAUGUUUGGCCCACAAGCUCUCAGAUGUGGCUAGGCCGGAUUCGGUUGUUCGUGGGGUAAAGGCCAACCACGCCGAAGAUCCGUACCGGGUCUGAGAGGAUGAUCAGUCACACUGGAACUGAGACACGGUCCAGACUCCUACGGGAGGCAGCAGUGGGGAAUAUUGGACAAUGGGCGAAAGCCUGAUCCAGCCAUGCCGCGUGGGUGAAGAAGGUCUUCGGAUUGUAAAGCACUUUUGGUGGGAAAGAAAGGCAUCAGGCUAAUACCAUGCGAGGAUGACGUUACCAACAGAAUAAGCACCGGCUAACUUCGUG
rnacentral:rRNA from 1 species